rnacentral:rRNA from 2 species
GCUAAUACAUGCAAGUCGAGCGAACUGAUUAGAAGCUUGCUUCUAUGACGUUAGCGGCGGACGGGUGAGUAACACGUGGGCAACCUGCCUGUAAGACUGGGAUAACUUCGGGAAACCGAAGCUAAUACCGGAUAGGAUCUUCUCCUUCAUGGGAGAUGAUUGAAAGAUGGUUUCGGCUAUCACUUACAGAUGGGCCCGCGGUGCAUUAGCUAGUUGGUGAGGUAACGGCUCACCAAGGCAACGAUGCAUAGCCGACCUGAGAGGGUGAUCGGCCACACUGGGACUGAGACACGGCCCAGACUCCUACGGGAGGCAGCAGUAGGGAAUCUUCCGCAAUGGACGAAAGUCUGACGGAGCAACGCCGCGUGAGUGAUGAAGGCUUUCGGGUCGUAAAACUCUGUUGUUAGGGAAGAACAAGUACGAGAGUAACUGCUCGUACCUUGACGGUACCUAACCAGAAAGCCACGGCUAACUACGUGCCAGCAGCCGCGGUAAUACGUAGGUGGCAAGCGUUAUCCGGAAUUAUUGGGCGUAAAGCGCGCGCAGGCGGUUUCUUAAGUCUGAUGUGAAAGCCCACGGCUCAACCGUGGAGGGUCAUUGGAAACUGGGGAACUUGAGUGCAGAAGAGAAAAGCGGAAUUCCACGUGUAGCGGUGAAAUGCGUAGAGAUGUGGAGGAACACCAGUGGCGAAGGCGGCUUUUUGGUCUGUAACUGACGCUGAGGCGCGAAAGCGUGGGGGAGCAAACAGGAUUAGAU